rnacentral:tRNA from 1 species
GCCACCGUAGCUCAGCAGGUAGAGCGUCGCACUUGUAAUGCGAAUGUCACGGGUUCGAUUCCUGUCGGUGGCU